UCCCCGUUGCCGAGGCAGUCUGAUUAGACAUAUCUAACUAAUCAUGAGGGUUGCGCUCGUUAAAGGACUUAACCUGACAUCUCACGACACGAGCUGACGACGGCCAUGCAUCACCUGUCACUGGUCCAGCCUAGCUGACGUUUUUAUCUCUAAAAACUGCGACCAGGAUGUCAAGUCUGGGUAAGGUUCUACGCGUAGCGUCGAAUUAAACCACACGCUCCACCGCUUGUGCGGGUCCCCGUCAAUUCCUUUGAGUUUUAGCCUUGCGGCCGUACUCCCCAGGCGGGAUGCUUAACGCGUUAGCUUUGCUACUGAGGAGGGUCGAUACUCCCCAACAGCUAGCAUCCAUCGUUUACAGCGUGGACUAC
rnacentral:misc_RNA from 1 species